UGGGGAAUAUUGGGCAAUGGGCGAAAGCCUGACCCAGCGACGCCGCGUGAGGGAAGACGGCCUUCGGGUUGUAAACCUCUGUUGCAGGGGAAGAAGGAAGUGACGGUACCCUGCGAGGAAGCUCCGGCAAACUACGUGCCAGCAGCCGCGGUAAUACGUAGGGAGCGAGCGUUAUCCGGAAUUACUGGGCGUAAAGGGCGCGUAGGCGGAAUGGCAAGUCAGCAAGUGAAAGCGUGGGGCUCAACCCCAUGAUGCGGCUGAAACUGUUAUUCUAGAGGCAUGGAGAGGCAAACGGAAUUCCCGGUGUAGCGGUGAAAUGCGUAGAUAUCGGGAAGAACACCAGUGGCGAAGGCGGUUUGCUGGCCAUGAACUGACGCUCAUAGCGCGAAAGCUAGGGUAGCAAACGGG
rnacentral:rRNA from 1 species